rnacentral:rRNA from 1 species
GACGAACGCUGGCGGCGUGCCUAAUACAUGCAAGUUGAGCGCUGAAGGUUGGUACUUGUACCGACUGGAUGAGCAGCGAACGGGUGAGUAACGCGUGGGGAAUCUGCCUUUGAGCGGGGGACAACAUUUGGAAACGAAUGCUAAUACCGCAUAAAAACUUUAAACACAAGUUUUAAGUUUGAAAGAUGCAAUUGCAUCACUCAAAGAUGAUCCCGCGUUGUAUUAGCUAGUUGGUGAGGUAAAGGCUCACCAAGGCGAUGAUACAUAGCCGACCUGAGAGGGUGAUCGGCCACAUUGGGACUGAGACACGGCCCAAACGCCUACGGGAGGCAGCAGGAGGGAAUCUUCGGCAAUGGACGAAAGUCUGACCGAGCAACGCCGCGUGAGUGAAGAAGGUUUUCGGAUCGUAAAACUCUGUUGGUAGAGAAGAACGUUGGUGAGAGUGGAAAGCUCAUCAAGUGACGGUAACUACCCAGAAAGGGACGGCUAACUACGUG